rnacentral:rRNA from 1 species
UACGAAGGGGGCUAGCGUUGCUCGGAAUGACUGGGCGUAAAGGGCGCGUAGGCGGAUUGCUUUGUCAGACGUGAAAUUCCAGGGCUUAACCUUGGGGCUGCGUUUGAGACGGGUGAUCUAGAGUGGAGAAGAGGGUCGUGGAAUUCCCAGUGUAGAGGUGAAAUUCGUAGAUAUUGGGAAGAACACCGGUGGCGAAGGCGGCGACCUGGUCUUUGACUGACGCUGAUGCGCGAAAGCGUGGGGAGCAAACAGG